CACAAACCACCACGACUGACCCAACCUGUUCCACCUCACCACAGCUCCAGGCUCAUGAGCAGGAAUCUUCCAGCUCCUGAACCUGCAGGAACAUUCAUCAGAGGGAUCAGCAUCAGAGCUGCUGGUGAUGAAAACACAUCUCCUCUGGAGCACGUGGAGGAACCACACAAGGCUCCUCCCCCUCAUGCUGCUCACGCAUCCUUUUGACGGGGGUCAGCCAGCGCGGGGGAGUCUCGAGAGGUCUCGGCGGAGUUAGCUGAGGACCAUGGUCCAUGUCCAUCCUCCCCACUCCCAGACGUGCCCUGUUCUCUGCCAGGACCCCAUCAGGAUCAACCUUUCGUUCAGACAUUUCUUCAAAAAAAUAAACACUUUCCUGCCAU